UAGACUGUCAAAACUAGCUUUUGGAUUAUUU
rnacentral:piRNA from 2 species